rnacentral:rRNA from 1 species
GUGAGAGAUGGGGUCGCGGCCCAUUAGGUAGUUUGGUGGGGGUAGAGGCCUACCAAGCCGAUGAUGGGUAGCCGGGUUGGGAGACCGACCGGCCACAUUGGGACUGAGAUACGGCCCAGACUCCUACGGGAGGCAGCAGUGGGGAAUUUUGCGCAAUGGGCGAAAGCCUGACGCAGCAACGCCGCGUGCGGGAUGACGGCCUUCGGGUUGUAAACCGCUUUCAGUGGGAAAGAUAAUGACGGUACCCACACAAGAAGCUCCGGCUAAAUACGUGCCAGCAGCCGCGGUAAUACGUAUGGAGCAAGCGUUAUCCGGAUUUAUUGGGCGUAAAGCGCGCGUAGGCGGCUUGUUAAGCAAGGUCUUAAAUCUUGGGGCUCAACCUCAAGCCGGAUCUUGAACUGGCAGGCUCGAGUAUGGUAGAGGAAAGUGGAAUUCCCAGUGUAGCGGUGGAAUGCGCAGAUAUUGGGAAGAACACCGAUGGCGAAGGCAGCUUUCUGGGCCAUUACUGACGCUGAGGUGCGAAAGCUAGGGGAGCAAACAGGAUUAGAUACCCUGGUAGUCCUAGCCGUAAACGA